rnacentral:rRNA from 1 species
AGCUCAAAUUUGAAAUCUGGCGCAAGCCCGAGUUGUAAUUUGUAGAGGAUGCUUCUGGGUAGCGGCCGGUCUAAGUUCCUUGGAACAGGACGUCAUAGAGGGUGAGAAUCCCGUAUGUGACUGGCUUGCACCCUCCACGUAGCUCCUUCGACGAGUCGAGUUGUUUGGGAAUGCAGCUCUAAAUGGGAGGUAAAUUUCUUCUAAAGCUAAAUACCGGCCAGAGACCGAUAGCGCACAAGUAGAGUGAUCGAAAGAUGAAAAGCACUUUGGAAAGAGAGUUAAAAAGCACGUGAAAUUGUUGAAAGGGAAGCGCCCGCAACCAGACUUUGCGGCAGUGUUCGGCCGGUCUUCUGACCGGUUUACUCGCUGUCGUGAGGCCAUCAUCGUCUGGGACCGCUGGAUAAGACCUUAGGAAUGUAGCUUCCCUCGGGAAGUGUUAUAGCCUCUGGUGAUGCAGCGCGUCUCGGGCGAGGUCCGCGCUUCGGCAAGGAUGAUGGCGUAAUGGUUGUCGGCGGCCCGUCUUGAAACACGGACCAAGGAGUCUAACAUCUAUGCGAGUGUUCGGGUGUCAAACCCCUACGCGUAAUGAAAGUGAACGGAGGUGGGAACUUUUUGUGCACCAUCGACCGAUCCUGAUGUCCUCGGAUGGAUUUGAGUAAGAGCAUAGCUGUUGGGACCCGAAAGAUGGUGAACUAUGCCUGAAUAGGGUGAAGCCAGAGGAAACUCUGGUGGA